rnacentral:SRP_RNA from 2 species
GCCAGGCGUUGUGGCGGGUGCCUGUAAUCCCAGCUACUCUGGAGGCUGAGGCAGGAGAAUCGCUUGAACCCAGGAGGUGGAGGCUGCAGUGAGCCGAGAUUGCGCCACCGCACUCCAGCCUGGGCGACAGAGCGAGACUCUGUCUCAA